AGAAAAUACUCAUGUAGCAACAGGGUGGUUUGGUUUUCCUGACAUUUAAUUCUUACAUGGCAGGCAUCAGUGCUUUAAUGGGAGAGAAUUUUGGAAUGAAAGCAAACUCAUUAGUAGAAACCAAUUACAAAUCUGUGUUUCCUGCCCUUGACAAAAUUCCCUGUUUCUCUGUGUUGUUGUUUUGUUGUUGUUGUUGGUUUUGGUUGGUCGGUUGGUUUGUUUUGUUUUUCCCUUUAACUGUCAAGUCACGUCAAAGCUGAUUAUAAGAGAUGGGCCUUGCAGAAGACAACAUUACACGGGUGGGCUUUGGAUGCUAAGCUUCACCACUGUUCUGAAGAUCACAAAACUCAAUUUCAGCAUCUUUGUUCAUUCCCCAAGCCAGGGAAAACCCUAAAGUAAAAUCCCAGUGGUAAAUUUUUUUUAGCCUUGAGUCUAAGUUCAUGGAUUCUGAGAUGGAAGUAAAAAUUCUUAUAUCACAGUCAAAUGAAAUCAUGAUCAUGAAGCAGUUUCUACUGUAUUGGAAAGCCAAGUGGCCAAAUAUGGUUAUUUCCAUAUAUGGCAAAAUCAUUCCAUAUUCUUUUGCAUCACAAACACUCCAUGACCCUUAUAUGUCAUAACUGCUGACCUCUCAGGAUAGGCCAGAUAUAUGUCAGCUCACCAUCUGAUACAGAGCAACAUCAGAGAAACAGGCAGCUCUGCCUGGAGGCUGCCACCCCCUUACAGACACCUUGAAAGCAGCAAUGGUGAGAUCCAGGCGAUAUUGGGAGCAACGCAGCAGGGGAUGCUCCCAGCGGAGGCCGAGAGUCAGAGGCAGGAGACGAAAAAGGAGGCAAGGGAGAAUGAGGAGAAGGGCAGGAGGGAGCAAGAAAUACCAUUACAGGAGGUUGAGCACCACUGCCCUGGAGCAGUAGGGACCUGCAGGUGUGGAUUUCCUGCCGGGAGGGUCUGUGUCACACCCCACCAAGGUCACAGGGAGAUCUCUGUCACCUCACAAACCUUUGACAUCACUGGUGGAGCCUCUGAAGGCUUCCAAGGCUUUCUGCAUGUCCUUCCUCAAUGCUUCCUCUCCAGAAGGGGUGAUCCUCUGCUCUCAGGGCAAGGUUUACCUUGGGUGGCAUCACUACUGACAACAGGCUGGCUCUGCACCUUUGCAUUUUCCCACUGCUCUCAUUUUUGACAGCUGCACUUUCUACCUCUGAAGGAUUCAGGCUUGAACUUAAGAAAACUGCACCUUGCAGAGACCCACCCACAGCUCAGGGAAGGGUUUCAUGGCCUUUCCUGAGUUAGAGUGUAUUUUGGUUGCUACUCACUGACCUCUGCACAGCUUACCCCAGGGAGUGCCUUUUGGCCAUGUUCUGAUCGGAUUUUUCUCUCAUAGUUGUAAUGAAAUGUCUUUUACACUCAAUAUCUGUCAUCAGAGGGAGAGAACUAAGCUUAUCAUGGCAGGCUUUGACUUGGAAAGAUUUAGUUGUAGGCGCUUAUAUAUUUUCCAAAACAGGUACAACUCCGCAUUACCAUGGUGAUGGAGCCCUUCCUCAUUCUCCUCAGCAACAGCAAAUAGGCAGGACAGAGAAGGCCUCUGGAGAUGACACAUUCAUCUUCACGACCUUGGAGGCCCAUGUAGUCCAGGGAGAGAAAGCAUGAUUCAAGAACUGGUAGUCACACAUAGCACACACAAGUGUAAUCAAGAGAACAAGCAGAAAUUUUCCUUUUUUUUGUUUUUUUUUCUUUCCUCAUUUUUUCCUUGUAUUCAUUUUCUCACUAGUGACCUGUUUUUUUAAGCAAGAAAAGAGGACAAACUGUGUGCGUAUAGAGCAAGGCUAAAACUCAAUACUCGGUGAAUUUUAACCCCCACCCCCGAAAAGAAUCCACCUUCUUAGCAGACAAAAAACUGAAGCUAUUUUUUUUUGCCUACACCUUGCCAUUAUCUGGCUUAAACAUUUUGUCCAGCAUUGUGCAGCUACAGAAUGCAAUGUUACUGGGUAUCUUGAAUUUAUAUUUCAGUGGAAGACAAAGGCUCCACGUCUUUAUUUUGGGGAAUUCGCCAAAGUUCUUGCCAGCUCAUCAUUUCCCUAAUGUUACCAAGUAAUAAGUGAUAAAUAGUCAUGAGGCAGACAAGCAAAAAUUACAAGAUUUGAUAGAAAAAAAGAAAUCAACUUUGAAAUAAGGCUAUUCAAGAUAUAUUUUUCUGCACUGUGAUAUUUGAAUUACUUCUGUUCACAUCACCAGGAUUUUCUCAAAAAUUCUGAUGUCUGUGUGAAUACAUGAUUUAUAAAGAAAGGAGAACAGAGGUUAUAUGGUAGCAGUAAGGAUCUCAGGAGAUGAGGUUUAAUGGGAAACACCAGCUACCACAAGAAUUGGCAAUCUGCCUGUCCUUUAAAGCAGAAGUGCCUAAACUGCAGUCCACAGCUAGUGUCAAAGACCAUUAUCACUUUGUUCAGCUUCCCAGUUUUCAGCUGGGAGUGAGAUAAGAAGUUGUGAUGGCCUAUAUCAUGUGUUAAGAGCUAACAAGUGGCUAGUGGUCCCCAACCUCUUGUUGCUGCCUAGUUAGGAGCAGGAUGUGGGACCAGAUGGAUACUUAUCACAGUAAUAGCUUUGGUUUGAUACAGCCACAGUUCAUUAUCAGACUAAAGCAGGGAGUAGAAGCUGGAGAAAUGGAUGUGCAGGAGGGUUUGGUUUGUCCUGUGUAAUGAUAUCUUAGAUUCUUUUUAAAAAAUAUUGCUCAGAAGAGAAUUUAUUUGCCCAGUUUCAUCCUAGAAUGACAUACAGCCACGUAACCCUCUGCCCUGUCCCCCAAAACGGAGAAGUACUAGGAAAAGGCUGAAACAAGUUUAUCUGCCAUAUCACAGAGGUUCUGAAUGUUGGCCAGGAGUAGCCCACAAGGGAUAUAAAGAAAUGACAAUGCCCAUGGCUUUACCAUAAGGUUGCAACUGGAAAAGUCCCUCUUAUACUAAGACCUGGGAACUGAAUAGGUUGGAAGAGAGAAGAAAGGAGGACAACUAAAGGGGACAGCAAAGAAGAUGAAAGUGUGGGGGAAGGAGAGCACUGUAGGAGGAUGGGAGACGUGAAGCCUUUCAGUUUGUCACCAACAGUGGCACCUGUCCCAAUCUUGGACUCGCUUGUGUUUCAGUGGCUUGUCUUACUGCCAUGGCUUUGGGAACAGCAGCCUGUUUACAGGAAACAAGCUGGCUGUGCUUCCCAUAGCCUUGCUGGGCCAGGGCGGAGGCGAAAGCUGGCUCUUUCUGCUGCUGAGAAAGCUCCGGCUUGCUCGGGGUGUGUGAGCAUUGCAAAUCCCUUCUUCCCACCCCUACCUCCUUCCCCCAGUGCUGGCUCUUCCCCACCCCAGCCUUGGCCACAUGGGUGUUUGGAGGGGAAGUUAUGGUUCCCAGAAGGGCUGCAGGAUCCCUGGAAGCUGCCGGGGACACGCUGUGGCUAAGUCCCUGGGGACCAACACGAACCCAAUGUUACCUCUCUCACAUCCUUAGGCUGGGCAGAUGAUGUUUAACAAGCGUAAGCGGACUUGUUGUGAUGGAUGGUAGCAAUGACAAUAAAAAUAAGAUGUUGCACCA
ensembl:lncRNA